GUAGUAUUAAUUUAAAUAUUCGUAUCUAUUGGAAGAAUAGGUAAUGAGAAAAUAGAUGGGUUGGUUAGUCGUUUAAAGAGUGAGAGAAAAUAAUAUUUAGAAAGAAAAUAGAGUUUUUUUUUUAGAGAAAAUAAGAAAUUAGAGUGCGAACGGGAGGAUCAGUAAAAUUGGGAUGAAAAGAGGUGUAGUUAGUGAGACGAGUAGUACUUUAAUGAUUUAAGUAGAUGGGAGUGUGAAUAGCAAGGCGGUGUAGCUACAGAAAUAAUAGUAACAAUAUAUAGAGGUGCAGAUAGUAAUCUGAAAAGAUUAGUAACAAACCUGGAGGACAUAUAGUAAUCUAAAAAAAUUGGUAACAAACUCAAUUAGAGCUUAUAAAUAGAGAAAAGAAUUAGAGAAGAAGGGUUACUUAGCAAGAGAGAAACAAAGCGGCAAAAGAAAACAUAGGGUUGUGGAGAAAAGAGUUAAGGAGGCAAACCGAGAAGAAUCUAGAGAGAGAUUUUACAGUAGUAAUUCAUCAAAUUCUCCGAACUAGAGGUAAGGGGGGAGUUUUAUUCAUUGUAAGGGUUGUGUAAUCAUGUGGAUAGUGAAGGGUUGUUAAUUUUCAUUAUUUUCUUAUUCCUUUGAUGAUCUAUGAUUAAAUUCGUGUUCUUGUUUUUUGUUGCUGUUAUUAUUUGUAGAUUUUUGUUUCUAAAGUUGUGAUGUUUUCAUGUUAAAUUUGUGAUUGAAAUAUAGUGAUGUUCUGAUUUUUCUUUAAGAGAAUAAAAACCAUGACUACUCGCAAUCGGAUUCUGAUUACUUCUAAACUUUAUAUGGUUUUGAAUUGGUAAUUUUAUAAUCAAUUUAUUAAGUCAUUAAUGUUUAUAUUACCUUUGAUUUGCUGCUAUAAGUUACACUAUUAUUUAUUUUUUUGGCUUGUGAGAAAUUAUUCUUGUUAUUUUCCAUCGCUACUAACACCGUAGAUUCUAGUUCAUUCAAUUUAAUUGCCGUAACCAUUCACUGUUGAUGUACCUACUUUGAUUUAAUUUGUGGAUUACUAUUACUGUGGUCUUGUGUGGAUUAUAACUUGAGUUCCAUAAUGAAAACUACUUAGUGUGCCAUGCCAAUUUAAUAUUAAUGGUCGUGAAUUGUUCUUUAAAAAGGCUGUAGCUUGAUUUAUUUAUUUUAUUCUCUAUAUUGACAAAAGUUGAGUGAACAUAGUAUAUUUUUAUUCCUUUGAUCGAGAAACUUUGGCAAUUUUCAUAGUUUGAUUUAGAUUAUUUGUUUUAAAAGAAUUAAUUGAUCUUUCUUUUUCUUUUAUUGGAAAAGUAUUAAAUAACGAGUAAAGAUGUGUUCUAUAAGGAUGUGUUAUUUGAAGAUGUGUGAUUUAAAGAUGUGUUAUAUAAAGAUGUGCUAUUUGAAGAUGUGUGAUUUAAAGAUGUUUUAUAUAAAGAUGUGAUAUUUGACGAUGAUGCUAUUUAAAGAUGUGUAUUUGUCGAGUCAUUUAAAUAUGUGCAUUUGUUGAGUCAUUACUUGGUGUUCAUGCAUUCAUGGUCAGUCCGAUUUAAAGAUGUGUUUAAAGAUGGGGGAUAAAUCAAUAACAUAACUCUGAUAUCCAAAACCGGUACCACAUGCAUAUAGAGUCGAGUUAGAGACAUUGCAUACAUAACUGUAUGACUAUUUGAAGAUGUGUAAUUAAAAGAUGUGAUAUAUUAAGAUGUGUACCUAUUUAAAGAUGUGAUAUUCAAUGACGUGCUUCUAUAUGAUUAUGUGUGAAUGAUUUGUAUUUUAUUAAUGUCUACUUGAUAUUCUUAAAUGUUAUUGAUGCUUAUAUGUUAUUAUAAGAUGUUGAUUGAUGCCUAUUUGAUUUUUAUUAAAUGAAAUUUUAUAUCUAAAUGUGAAUGUUAUCUGACUAUGAUGCAUAUAUGUCUAAAUGUAAUUGUUGUGUUCUUUUAUCUGAAUCUAUACAUGUGUUUAUGCAUCUCUUAUGUUGAAUAUAUUCUCACCCUCUAGUGGCGGGUUGGGCGCCUGCACCCUUGUGGUGUAGAUUUGCAGGAAGAAGAUCUUAGUAGCAGUGAGUCUCGGAGGAUGGCGUUGGAGCCUUCUCCAUUUUAUGUGUCGCUUUUUGGAGUCUUUAUUGAGUCGAUGCUCUGAUCUGUGACACUAGGGAUUGGGAAUUUAUUUUAUUUUAGAUUAGGUUUUAGAAUUCUUUUGAAUUUAAUUUUGAUGUUGAUACAAAUGAUGUAAAAGUUACUUUGAUGUUUUGAAAAAUUUAUUUUGUUGUUACCAUUUUAAUUUAAAUUAAGUAUUUUGAAAUUGAAGAAGAUGUGUGACACCCUUGUAUGUUUAAUUAAUUAUUGUACUUUUAUUAGAAAAUAAUAUGUGGGGUUUAGGGUGUUACAGCGAUCCCCCAUCUUUAUAUCAUUGGAUAAUCGUAGGUAUAUUACCUAUUAAUUGACCCGUGUUUAAAUACCCGAUUGACCAUCAUGCAUGGAUAUCAAGUAUAGAAUCGACAAUGCACGACUCCAUAUAGUUCAUGUUACAUGAUCACUUCUUCACAUAACAUAACAAUUCACUAACACACCAAAGCAUCGUCAAAUCAUAAACCUCACUAAUGAUUUAAACACGUUAAAAACGCUAAUACCUCUGAUUUUGUUUAUCUUCAAAAGAUUUACCCCUUUCUUCUCUACUUUAUUCUUUCUUAUCCCAUAGACCCAUAAACCUCACUACCUGAUAACCUAACCUUCAUCCAUCCUUAUAUAUAUA
rnacentral:lncRNA from 1 species